UCGGGCGUGGUGUGCGGUACACCUCCACCUGCAGUUCACAUUUCUGCCAAAAUGGUCGGUGGAAGAUCCGGGUUCGACUCCUGGCGUCCGAA